ensembl:snoRNA
AUGCAUCACCGACAGCCCUGGAGCAGUUAAUGUCUGCUGCAGUUUCCACUGCAAAUGCAAGAAGAAAGUCCUGGCGCUUUCUGUCUGUCUGAUUGUGGCAGCCAAGAUUGAAUGGGGGAAGAGAGGA